CCUACGGGGGGCUGCAGUGAGGAAUAUUGGUCAAUGGACGAGAGUCUGAACCAGCCAAGUAGCGUGAAGGAUGACUGCCCUAUGGGUUGUAAACUUCUUUUAUAUGGGAAUAAAAUGUUCCACGUGUGGGAUUUUGUAUGUACCAUAUGAAUACGGAUCGGCUAACUCCGGGCCAGCAGCCGCGGUAAUACGGAGGAUCCGAGCGUUAUCCGGAUUUAUUGGGUUUAAAGGGAGCGUAGGUGGAUUGUUAAGUCAGUUGUGAAAGUUUGCGGCUCAACCGUAAAAUUGCAGUUGAAACUGGCAGUCUAGAGUACAGUAGAGGUGGGCGGAAUUCGUGGUGUAGCGGUGAAAUGCUUAGAUAUCACGAAGAACUCCGAUUGCGAAGGCAGCUCACUGGACUGCAACUGACACUGAGGCUCGAAAGUGUGGGUAUCAAACAGGAUUAGAUACCCUUGUAGUC
rnacentral:rRNA from 1 species